GCGCCCUGCCCGCCGCCAGGAUGCCCACGAGGAAGGUCAGCUCCGCCGAGGGGGCGGCGAAAGAGGAGCCCAAGAGGAGAUCGGCGCGGUUGUCGGCCAAACCUCCUGCAAAAGUGGAAGCAAGGCCAAAAAAGGCGGCGGGAAAGGAUGCCUCUUCAGACAGAAAAGUGCCAGCAAAAGGGAAAAAGGGGAGGGAAGGGAAAGCAGGCUGAAGUGACUAACCAAGAAACUAAAGAAGAGUGAGUGACCUGCAGAAAACGGAGAAGCUAAAACCGAGGAGAAUCCAGCCUCUGAUGAAGCAGGAGAGAAAGAAGCCAAGUCUGAAUAAUAUCAUAUCCCAUGUCUUAUCAGUGGUCCUUGUCUCCCUUCUUGUACAAUCCAGAGGAAUAUUUUUAUCAACUAUUCUGUAAAUGCAGGUUUUUUAGUAGCUCUAGAAACAUUUUUAAGAAGGAGGAAAUCCCACCUCAUCCCAUUUUUUA